ensembl:lncRNA
CGGCGACCCAAACCCAGAGAGGACCCCAAUUAACGGGAACCCCAAUGAAAGAGGACAUAAAUUAAUGGGAACCCUAAUUAAUGAGCACUCAAAUUAACAAAAACCCUCAUUAAUGAGACCUAAAAUUAACGAGAACCCCAAUUACUGGUAAAGCUCAUCAAUGGGAAUGUAAACCAAUGGGAACCCUCCAUCAACGGCGACCCAAACCAAGAGGGGAACCCAAUUAAGGGAAUCCCAAUUAAUGGGUCAUAAAUUAACGGCUACCCCAAUUAAUGAGUCUUAAAUUAAUGGUUACCCUCACUAAUGAGACCAAAAAUUAACGAGAACCCCAAUUAACGGCAAAGCUCAUCAAUGGCAACGUAAACCAACGGGAACCCACCAUCAACGGUGACCCAAACCCAGAGGGGACCCCAACAGACAGGAACAGCAAUUAAGAGAGGCUGUAAUUAACGAGGGCCGCUAACGAGGCCGCUAAUGAGCGCGGGCACCUGGCGGUUGAAGUAGAGGAAGCCUUUGGGGCAGUUGACGUUAUGGAAGGGGGCGAAGGAGUCAAUGGGGCCGUCGAUGGCCAUGGGGUGCAGCCGCAGCGCACCGCGAGCCGACAGCAGCAGCCAAUGGGGGGCCGGGCCGCACAGGAACACCUGCAAUUAGUUAAUUAGUCCUUAAUUAGGGUCAGCAGGGUCAGCGGGGGGAGGGGGGAGGAGCCAGGGCACAUAGGAACACCUGCAAUUCAUUGGUUAGCAAUUAAUAAGGGGCAUGAGGGUCGGCAGGGUGGGGCUGGGCUGCACAGGAACAGCUGCAAUUAGUUAAUUAGUCCUUAAUUAGGGCCAGGAGGGCCAGCGGGGAAAAAGGUGUGGGGCUGGGCAGCACAGGAACACCAGCGGUUAGUUAAUUAGUCGUUAAUUAGGGGCAUGAGGGACAGUGGGGGAAAAGGUGUGGGGCUGGGCUGCACAGGAACAGCUGCCAUUAGUUAAUUAGCCGUUAAUUAGGGCCAUGAGGGUCAGUGGGGGAAAAGGUGUGGGGCUGGGCUGCACAGGAACAGCUGCCAUUAGUUAAUUAGCCGUUAAUUAGGGCCAUGAGGGUCAGUGGGGGAAAAGGUGUGGGGCUGG